UACGGGGGGGGCAAGCGUUGUUCGGAAUUACUGGGCGUAAAGGGCUCGUAGGCGGCCAACUAAGUCAGACGUGAAAUCCCUCGGCUUAACCGGGGAACUGCGUCUGAUACUGGAUGGCUUGAGGUUGGGAGAGGGAUGCGGAAUUCCAGGUGUAGCGGUGAAAUGCGUAGAUAUCUGGAGGAACACCGGUGGCGAAGGCGGCAUCCUGGACCGGCAUUGACGCUGAGGCGCGAAAGCCAGGGGAGCAAACGGG
rnacentral:rRNA from 1 species